GCAUCUCCUUCUUCCCAUUUCUGCAAUAGUCACGUUAAAAUGAAAGAGUGAGAGAGGGGAAGACGGUUUCAUAAAAAAAAACUAACCUUUAAAGUGGGAUAACUUUUGCUCUAGUGGUUGAAAUUGCAUGCUGUUUGUGGCCACGCGUCAGGGGUUUACUAGCUUUGACUCUUUGUGGAUAUUGCUCAAGGAUCAGUGGGUGAAGAUGCAGGUCGAGAGGCACUUCGCUAGGCGUCUGGAGUUCUACCGCGAAGUGGUUUCAUUUUGGGGCUUAUUUCUGAUAUUUUGAUAUGUAUAUGUAUUAGACUCUCCUCUUGUAUAUAUUACUGCUUUACUUUGUACCUCUUAGAGGUUUAUGGAGAACAGGCUUAUAUGUAUGUAUUUUUUUUUGGGAUUCGGGCUAUGUAUAUACGUAUGUAAAUAUUCUCGGCCAGCCUUAGCUUCGCAGGCUGAGUUAGGAACUUGUUAUUUUGUACUUU